UAUGGGUUGUGAAGUAGUAGUAUUUUUCAUUAAUGAGUUUGCAAAGACUUCGUUGGAAGUAAAAGUUAUUCGCAGCAAAAUAGAUUCAAGUGUUUGAUGGAUGAAGAGUAUGAGGAACGUGUGUAUUCAUUCCUAAGAGGAGGAGAGGGAUGGGAUCUAACGCAGGAUUUGGAUAAAGAAGGUUUGUCUGUCACAUGAGAAAUUGGAAAUAAGGAAUCCCAAAUUUCACAAGCUUUAUAUAGAUCGAUCUAUCUUCACAGGGGUCAUUCAAAUUUAUGUGAUCUCACUACAUCUGAGAAUUCAUUAGCCCAUUGCAUCCAGUUUCUCAUCAAAGCAAUAGCAAUAACUUGUACCUCAUUCAAUUCUUUCUACACUUGCUCUCAAGGAUGCUGGAAUUCAAUCUCAAUAGUGUAACGUUUGUAUCCGGGAAAUGCGAGUCAAUUGAUAGUUUCAGUUCAAGCUUGUCCCACAGGUAAGUAUUUCGCUUGCCCGGCAGACAAAGACUAUGUGAAAACCAUGUUUAAAGUAAGUCAUCAUUGACCAAGGGGAUGUUGCAAGGUUUAAUGAAGAAAAUAGCAUUGAACGAUUGGAAUCACAAGGAAUGGAUCGUCCAAUUUUGGGCACCCGGAGCCAAACAAGACGAACAUGGACCCCUCUUCUACUACACGAGAGAAGAAUUUCCAGCAAGAAACUUUGCAAUGCUUUGUUGUAAACGUGGAUACAUGGCUUUACCCAUACUUAACAAUGAAGGCACAGGCAAUGGGGAGCUUGUGGGCGUGCUAGAGUUCCUUGGAUUUGAUUCUUCUGACCAUCGGAGAACUACUGAAGGUACUAUCUCUUGCCACUUUUGACUUGUCACUAUAUAAAAAUUGUUGUGAAAACAAUUUCCACUUCCACGCAGGAACCAAAACUGGAUUCUUAGCAAAUGAACAUUUCAAUGUAUGCUUUAACACAAUUUUAGAUGUUACUAACAUGUUUGUGUGUCUUUUGAUUUAAUUUGUGCUAUUUGAAUCAGAUUGUCACUUGUAGGGAAAAAGCUUCGACACAAAUCAGCAAUGCCCUUAAAAUGAUCAAGGACAUUCCCUCCCCAACUCCGUAUGACACCUAAUGAUGAAUGUGUUAGUACAAGUAAUACCAAUAGGAGCUGGCAUUGUCUUCUAACACAUUUAGUUCACUGGAUACAUGUUCAAGCCAGAAAAGGGAUGGAUGGUUGGGAUGGUAUUGUCAUCACAAAACAAAUCAUGUUUUUUUCCAAAUUUAAGUGAGUUACACACUAUGACAUGAGAGAUGGACGUGAUGUUUGUUUUGCCAUUUGUUUGCAAAGUUCGGACACUGGUGACCUUGUUUGUAUUAUCGAUUUACCAAGGUCCCAUGACAGAUAAGUAUGUUGGGUCCUUCUUGAGCCUUCUAUUGCCUAUGAUAAAGCAUGAAUUAAAAUCAUUUAAGCUAGCAUGUGGGAAGGAACUAGGAGAAGAACUGGUGGUUGAAGUUAUUGAAUUUUCUGAUGCAAAUACACUUGAUUACUCUGAAUCAGAGCCUGCAUGUGGGUAUCCUGUCAUAUUCAAAAGUGUGAAGUACAAUCAAAAGGAGAAUCAUCACACUGAAAACAAACAACAAAACGAGUACCAUCACACAGAAGAAGAAGAAGAACGCGCAGAAGAAUGCAUCGUUGCUGCUUCAGAUUCCAAUACACUACAAAGAGGGAAGAUAAAAAGAUCGCUCAAUGUUAGUGCGGAGGCUUCAAAUCACAUUAUGGGAAGAAGCAAAAAGAUGUUGCCAUAGAGAUCGGUGUUUCAGUAUCAACAAUAAAGCGUGCAAACAGGAAACGCGGCAUUCAAAGGUGGCCAUCCCUUUCCGAAGAAGCAAGUGCUGCGAAUUCAGAGCAAGACUUGUUGCCAUCAACCAGCAACGUUCAUCCAUUGGAGAAUAUGACACAAAUAAUCACAGGAAGCGCAGACAAGGUGAUUGUAAAGGUGAAGUAUAACGAGGAAUUCAUAAGAUUUGAGUUGUCUGAACCAUUAUUAUUGGCAAAGCUUACUGAAGAAGUGGCGAUGCGUCUAAAUCUGGAGAUGGCCAGUUUCAAGUUGAAAUACGUGGAUGAAGAGGGUGAUGCGAUCUUAUUAACCAGAGAUUCUGAUUUGGAUCUUUGUCCAAAGACUCGAACAGCAACAGGUCAGACACUCAUCCGGCUGUUGGUUCGACGAUACUUUUUUCCUUCAUUUCAUUUCUAAAUAAAUGCAUUUGCAAUUGCUUGAGUUUACUGCCCCUGAUGGAUUGGUGGCUCUGCAAAGACUUUGUCUUCAUCUUGGAUUUUGGUGUAAAAGCUUCUUUAUUUUGUAAUAGGAAUCAAAUUUUACUUUUGUUCAUUUAUAAAUAUCAUUUUAAUUAA